rnacentral:rRNA from 1 species
UCGGGAAUUUUGGGCAAUGGGCGAAAGCCUGACCCAGCAACGCCGCGUGAAGGAUGAAGUAUUUCGGUAUGUAAACUUCGAAAGAAUAGGAAGAAUAAAUGACGGUACUAUUUAUAAGGUCCGGCUAACUACGUGCCAGCAGCCGCGGUAAUACGUAGGGACCAAGCGUUGUUCGGAUUUACUGGGCGUAAAGGGCGCGUAGGCGGCAAUUCAAGUCAUCUGUGAAAUCUCCGGGCUUAACUCGGAACGGUCAGAUGAUACUGCUUUGCUAGAGUGCAGAAGGGGCAAUCGGAAUUCUUGGUGUAGCGGUGAAAUGCGUAGAUAUCAAGAGGAACACCUGAGGUGAAGACGGGUUGCUGGGCUGACACUGACGCUGAGGCGCGAAAGCCAGGGGAGCAAACGGGAUUAGAUACCCUCGUAGUCCCUGAGCGGGCUGGCAAGGCGCAU